GACGAACGCUGGCGGCGUGCCUAAUACAUGCAAGUCGAGCGGAGUUAUUUUGGAAGCUUGCUUCCGAAAUAACUUAGCGGCGGACGGGUGAGUAAUACGUAGGCAACCUGCCUGUAAGACUGGGAUAACUGCCGGAAACGGUAGCUAAUACCGGAUAAUUCUUUUCUACACAUGUAGGAAAGCUAAAAGACGGCUUACGCUGUCACUUAUAGAUGGGCCCGCGGCGCAUUAGCUAGUUGGUGAGGUAACGGCUCACCAAGGCCACGAUGCGUAGCCGACCUGAGAGGGUGAUCGGCCACACUGGGACUGAGACACGGCCCAGACUCCUACGGGAGGCAG
rnacentral:rRNA from 1 species